AAAUGCGAUAACUAGUGUGAAUUGCAGAAUUCCGUGAAUCAUCGAGUCUUUGAACGCACAUUACGCCCCCUGGUAUUCCGGGGGGCAUGCCUGUCCGAGCGUCAUUGCUGCCCAUCAAGCACGGCUUGUGUGUUGGGUCGUCGUCCCCUCUCCGGGGGGGACGGGCCCCAAAGGCAGCGGCGGCACCGCGUCCGAUCCUCGAGCGUAUGGGGCUUUGUCACCCGCUCUGUAGGCCCGGCCGGCGCUUGCCGAACGCAAAUCAAUCUUUUUCCAGGUUGACCUCGGAUCAGGUAGGGAUACCCGCUGAACUUAAGC
rnacentral:misc_RNA from 1 species